rnacentral:rRNA from 1 species
AUGCACGCUGGCGACGUGCCUCAUACAUGCCAGUCGAGCGAACAGACGAGGAGCUUGCUCCUCUGACGUUAGCGGCGGACGGGUGAGUAACACGUGGAUAACCUACCUAUAAGACUGGGAUAACUUCGGGAAACCGGAGCUAAUACCGGAUAAUAUAUUGAACCGCAUGGUUCAAUAGUGAAAGACGGUUUUGCUGUCACUUAUAGAUGGAUCCGCGCCGCAUUAGCUAGUUGGUAAGGUAACGGCUUACCAAGGCAACGAUGCGUAGCCGACCUGAGAGGGUGAUCGGCCACACUGGAACUGAGACACGGUCCAGACUCCUACGGGAGGCAGCAGUAGGGAAUCUUCCGCAAUGGGCGAAAGCCUGACGGAGCAACGCCGCGUGAGUGAUGAAGGUCUUCGGAUCGUAAAACUCUGUUAUUAGGGAAGAACAAAUGUGUAAGUAACUAUGCACGUCUUGACGGUACCUAAUCAGAAAGCCACGGCUAACUACGUG